UCGUGCUAGACGGGGAGCUGGCGGUGCCCUGUACCCGCAAUCCGCCAUAGCGGGGUCGAAUUCCCCCCCGAGGGCUUGCCUGUGUGGGACUACCGCUGUCGAAAGGCGCUGAAGGGCGGGUCCUGCGCGGCAGGAGCCUCCAAACCCCGCCAGGUCCGGGAGGAAGCAACGGUAAGGAGUCCCUCCUGGGUGCCGCAGGGGUGCCUGCCCGGAGCCGGACGGCAUCGGCAAGCCAGGCGGUGCAGUUCGACGGGGGGUGCACGA
rnacentral:SRP_RNA from 1 species